rnacentral:misc_RNA from 1 species
GAAGUAAAAGUCGUAACAAGGUCUCCGUUGGUGAACCAGCGGAGGGAUCAUUACAGAGUUGCAAAACUCCCUAAACCAUUGUGAACGUUACCUAUACCGUUGCUUCGGCGGGCGGCCCCGGGGUUUACCCCCCGGGCGCCCCUGGGCCCCACCGCGGGCGCCCGCCGGAGGUCACCAAACUCUUGAUAAUUUAUGGCCUCUCUGAGUCUUCUGUACUGAAUAAGUCAAAACUUUCAACAACGGAUCUCUUGGUUCUGGCAUCGAUGAAGAACGCAGCGAAAUGCGAUAAGUAAUGUGAAUUGCAGAAUUCAGUGAAUCAUCGAAUCUUUGAACGCACAUUGCGCCCGCCAGCAUUCUGGCGGGCAUGCCUGUUCGAGCGUCAUUUCAACCAUCAAGCCCCCGGGCUUGUGUUGGGGACCUGCGGCUGCCGCAGGCCCUGAAAAGCAGUGGCGGGCUCGCUGUCGCACCGAGCGUAGUAGCAUACAUCUCGCUCUGGUCGCGCCGCGGGUUCCGGCCGUUAAACCACCUUUUAACCCAAGGUUGACCUCGGAUCAGGUAGGAAGACCCGCUGAACUUAAGCAUAUCAAUAAGCGGAGGAAAAGAAACCAACAGGGAUUGCCCUAGUAACGGCGAGUGAAGCGGCAACAGCUCAAAUUUGAAAUCUGGCUUCGGCCCGAGUUGUA